rnacentral:lncRNA from 1 species
GAAACCAGACGAUUGCUUCUUCAUUAAAACCAUUAUAAAAGCAUCGGAAGUACUCGGCCACUUUGGUAGCAGAGUACAGACAACCGGGGAAGGCCGACGCCGCUUCGCCGAAAGAUGUGCAUCGGUGUCGAGCAGUGGGAUCCUCUGCCGAUUCGACGCUGGGGAAUGUCAUGUGUUCCACCCUCUGCUGAGAAAUCUUGCUCAUAUACAGGUUCAGCCACAAG